GAUGAACGCUGGCGGCGUGCCUAAUACAUGCAAGUCGAGCGAACGGACGAGAAGCUUGCUUCUCUGAUGUUAGCGGCGGACGGGUGAGUAACACGUGGAUAACCUACCUAUAAGACUGGGAUAACUUCGGGAAACCGGAGCUAAUACCGGAUAAUAUUUUGAACCGCAUGGUUCAAAAGUGAAAGACGGUCUUGCUGUCACUUAUAGAUGGAUCCGCGCUGCAUUAGCUAGUUGGUAAGGUAACGGCUUACCAAGGCAACGAUGCAUAGCCGACCUGAGAGGGUGAUCGGCCACCCUGGAACUGAGACACGGUCCAGACUCCUACGGGAGGCAGCAGUAGGGAAUCUUCCGCAAUGGGCGAAAGCCUGACGGAGCAACGCCGCGUGAGUGAUGAAGGUCUUCGGAUCGUAAAACUCUGUUAUUAGGGAAGAACAUAUGUGUAAGUAACUGAGCACAUCUUGACGGUACCUAAUCAGAAAGCCACGGCUAACUACGUG
rnacentral:rRNA from 1 species